rnacentral:lncRNA from 1 species
CUUGAGUCUGAAAGAGGUUAAUAGGCAAGAAAGGCAGAGGCAUAGAUGAGAGAAUAGCAAUAAACCAGGGAUGAAGGGAGCCCUGGUGACAAAAAGGACACGGGAUUCUCUCUGUGGUCAAGGAGAUGGCAGUGAGAGGGGUAAAUUCAUUCACUUACCCAUGGUCCUCUUUGGAGAGUGCAGUGCCAAGGGUGACAAGCCUCACCUGGCUGAGAUUGAAGUUUGUUUGGGCCCCAUUGUCACAGCAACAAGGGAAUGUUUGGUAACAAAGCCAGUGAUCUCACAGAAGCUUGUCAUAACCCCACCUUCUUGAAGCUCAGGGAAGAGCAGAGCCAUCCAGGAGAGAACUUGGAGGAAGAGGAAGACAAUAGUUUCCUUGGAAGAGCUGUGAGUACUAGAAAAGUACUUUCCUGCAAAGGAGGUCGAGAAAUUGAAGAAGACGAAAGAGAAGUCUUCAGCCAAAGGCUCGAGGAAUGCACCCGAGGAAAUACCAGGAGCCAAAAGCCUGGACCAGAUUUUCCUGCAACCAUGAAUCUGAAGAAGACACCUCCGAGAAAUCCGAAGGAGCCCCAAGAUCCUGGAUCCGGAUAAGUGUUGUUUCUCAUCAUUUUCAUUGACUAGAAACGUUUCUGUAGCAGACAUAAAACUGGCCAUUUUAUUUCCCCUGAGAAUUAUAUUUACCCUGAGCAAAGUCCCUUUAAGUAGAGAGCCUAGAAAGGACAGAGCUAUUCCCCAAAGUGAGUCGAAGUAGGAAAAGUUUAAAAUAGGAGAAUUUUACCUGGUUAAGAGGUUUAAAAGUAACAUCUGUUCAUUGGAGAAUUUGCAGCAGAGAUGCCAGAGUGCUAGUUUGUCUCAAAGUACUAUCAGAAGAAGUUAGGAGGAAUGACGGAGCCCAGAAAUGAUUGUUAGUAAUACAAGAUAAAUUUAUAUUCAAUCUGGAGCCUGGUUAGAGAAUUGCCAUCUAAUAGUGAAUUGUAUGGGAAGGUAAUUGGGAAAAAGAAAAGCUAUGGAGGAAAUUGGUUAGUGAUACAGUCACAAGGGCGAAUGGAAAGGCCGAGUUUAUGCCAAGUUCUACAGGUGACGCUGAUCAUGGCCAAUUCUCCCUCAUCUUCAGUUACUUCCCACUUUUCUUCUGUUAAUAGCAAAUUUUCUGUAUGAUGAAAGGAGCCUCAGGAAGGCAAGGCGUAGAAUAUGGGAAACGUGGAGGCAGAUAGAAAUUAUUAGCCAUUAUGAAUAAGUAAGCAAAUUCAAAGAGGUCCCUUUUCUUAAAAGAAGAGUUUAGGUCAUAAGGAAAACCUGGCAAAAUAUCAGUGCCAAAAGGGGGGAGGCCCAGCACAUAAAUAGUAGAUUCUAAGCAGCAGUUUUAAUAAACAAGGUUCUGAUAGAACA